GGCGGCGUAUCCGAAUUGGCACAGGAGGCGGACUUAAAAUCCGCUGACCGAAAGGUCUUGUGGGUUCGACCCCCACCGCCGCUACCA
rnacentral:tRNA from 1 species